UAAUGGAUCAGUGACUUAGCGCUAACAUUUGGAAAAAGGAAAAGGUAAUUACUUGAGAAUCGGGAAUAAGGAAUAAGGAAUAAGAGGCCAACAUCAGGCUGAACAAAUGUUAGUUGCUUACCAUAUCGUUUGAAUUUUUGAUGUUCAUGAUCGCCCGCUACUGCGACGAUAAUAAAAAUAACCUUACGUCGUAAAAGGGGGUGAAGUGAACUCGGAUCUCGGUGUGCACUCACAUGACGGGAAAGGUCUUUCGUGCGAGGACUUGUGCGGACUAAAAAUAAGGAAUAACGCGUUUUUCUACUAUUUAAGAGCUGAAACAAGAUUGGAAAAGCAUCAAAGACCUUCAGAAAAAUAGUUUACUGAUGAACCAGGUGAAGAACAAACCUACUGCAGUGAAAAGCCGCCCAUUCCUUUAAGGGAAAAUGUGUUUGAGUGGGCUAGUGUAGGAAUCCUGUAACUACAAUAUUAUGCUGUUUGAGUGCCAUUUGCCUUGUUAAAGAAAUAUAAAAGCAUUGUAUUGGGCUGAUCGUUCAGGAAAUAGCGUGUCUGAGAAUCGUCAUGUACAUCAUGUGGUGGCCUCAUUCAUUGCUUCACAUCUAGUAUUAUUGUGCGCAUUGAUCGAGAUAGAUGCCAUGAGAGCGGUAUUUUACACGUUUUUACGACGUAUACACUCCAUUUUCUGAACGAAAUAGGAGCAUUCCUUUAUUUUCGAAGUGAUGAAAUCAUGGAAAACAUUACAACCACACAUAUCGUCUCGGAUACUAACUCUCCGGACUAUCCGUUUCUUCUCGCCUUCUACAAGCUUGUGUCAAAGUAUCUUUGGAUAAUCCCGGUCGCGAUUGGCGUCCCUGGAAAUAUCAUAGCGAUACUAGUGGCCAAUAGAAAGCACAACAGGGGAUUAUCUGCUUGCAUUUACAUGAAGGCAAUGGCCGUAGCAGACACGUUUUUACUUCUUCAGCAUGCAUUUGCCCUUCCAAUAAUGUAUUGGGACAUAGGAAAAAGCAUCGUGCAUAUGAGGGACGUGUUAUUUAUAUUCCAUCACUUUGCGGGGUAUAUUUACGCAAUGCUGUCGGGCUAUUUUCUCACUGAGAUGAGUAUAGACCGUUUGAUAGCCGUGAGGUUUCCGAUGGCUACACCCCGACUCUGCACCGCUUCAAGAGCUGUCAAGACAGUGAUCAUCACCACUGUCCUGGUCGUCCUCUACAAUAUACAGAUACCAUUUGUCAUGGCUUACUUCAGUGAUCCAGACACAGGGGCGGAGAUAAUGGUAUUUCAUGUACCAGAGUACCCCUUAGCUGCGUUUCUAGCCUCCUUGGGCCAGACACUCCUGGGAACAGUCAUACCAUUCGUGAUCAUACUGGGUAGCAACAUCAUCAUCAUCAUCACUGUCAAAAUAGCAUCGGAAAAACGAGCGCAGAUGAGAACAUGUCAAGGUCAAGUUGAGACCAAUCAGAAGCAAGAGCAACAUUUGACCCGGAUGUUGAUAUUUGUCAGCUGCGCAUAUGCUGUGACGUCAUUGCCGUUCCGUCUGUUCGUUAUGUUAUUGGACGUUCCUGCAAUUGGAGAUAUGUACGAUAUGGAGAAUGUUUACUGGAAUCUGCGAUAUACUAUACAAGCGUUUUUCUUGUUGAUAAUUUGGAUGUUUAAUCACGCAGUUAACUUCUAUCUUUAUUGUAUUGGCGGAGGUGCCAAAUACAGGAACGAUGCAAAGGAAGUCUGUAAACCCUUGAUUUCAUGUUUCAUAAAAGUAGAGAAAGCAAAGGGCAAUUAACGAGCAAUGUCAAUGCUUGGGUAUUGAAAUGAAUAAAUGCACAUGGUCCCUGGUUUCGACUGAGUGUAGGUUGUGUAAAAUACUUUAAAACCAUACAUGUAUCGUUAACUUAGAAGUUCUUUGUAAAUUCGAUGUAGGCCUGCUGAGGAUCCGUCCUUGAUAUAUUCUAUUGAAGGGGAUUUAACACGACCAACGUUUCGGCCUACUUUUUACGUUUUCUCGGCCUUCUAAUUUCCGGCGCAGAUCAAUUAGUUAGACUCCCACACACUAACAUGUGGAUGAUGGGCAAGGGCCUGCAAUAGGGCUCCAUUCAGAACACGCGUAUGUCUUGAUGAUGUAUCAAUUGCUUUGAUCCCGAAUGAGAUGCGGUAAGGGAAUUGUAUUGCUCGUACGAAGUUCGCUGUCUUAAAUAUCUGCACGACAGUGAAAUUGCCCCGAGUGGUCCUGGAUAGUGUAACUAUUCAACUAUCUUAAAAAUAUGUGUUUGCUAUAAAUUUUAUAUAACUAGUAAACUUAAAAUCCCAAUCAAAAGGUCAAAACAACAUGCUUAGUCGAUAUUUCACGAGCCAUUGAAAUUCCUUGCCACUUUUUAAACUGACCUCGUUUCAUUAACCAUGUUAACACCAAUUAGCUUGUUAUAGGCUUUUUAAAAUGUAGCUUCUCGAUUAAUAAGUAGAAGAAGAAAAUCAGUUUCUUGCAUAAGAAACACCUUUAUCGUGCUGAUGGAACCGAUUUUAUUCUUACCAAUGUGUAGCAUGCAGUCCAUAAUUACAUCCCUGUAAAGAUGUCUGUUCCAUAGUAUGGUGAAGGAAUAAAGUAAUUAUAUGGUUCUGAGA